UGAGGUUAGGUUAAGGGUUAGGUUUUAGGGUUAAUUUAUGGUUGAGAUUAGGUUUAGGGUUAGAUUUUACGGUUGAUUCAUGGUUGAGGUUAGGUUUAAGAUUAGGUUUUAGGGUUGAUUAAUGGUUGAUGUUAGGUUUAGGGUUAGCUUUUAGGGUUGAUUCAUGGUUGAGGUUAGAUUUUAGGGUUGAUUCAUGGUUGAGGUUAGGUUUAGGGUUGAUUCAUGGUUGAGGUUAGGUUUAGGGUUAGAUUUUAUGGUAGAUUCAUAGGUGAGGUUAGGUUUAGGAUUAGGUUUUAGGGUUGAUUAAUGAUUGAGGUUAGGUUUAGGGUUAGAUUUUCGGUUUCAUUCAUGGUUGAGGUUUUAGGGUUGAUUAAUUAUUAAACUUUAUAACAGGCUCUAGGCCCAAUAGGAAGACAUACAACAUAUACAUAAGAAAAGAAGAUUAAUGAUUGAGGUUAGGUUUAGGGUUAGAUUUUAGGGUUGAUUCAUGGUUAAGGUUAGGUUUAGGUUAUGUUUUAGGGUUGAUUCAUGGUUAAGGUUAGGUUUAGGUUAUGUUUUAGGGUUGAUUCAUGGUUGAGGUUAGAUUUUAGGGUUGAUUCAUGGUUAAGGUUAGGUUUAGGUUAUGUUUUAGGGUUGAUUCAUGGUUAAGGUUAGGUUUAGGUUAUGUUUUAGGGUUGAUUCAUGGUUGAGGUUAGAUUUUAGGGUUGAUUCAUGGUUAAGGUUAGGUUUAGGUUAUGUUUUAGGGUUAAUUCAUGGUUGAGGUUAGAUUUUAGGGUUGAUUCAUGGUUGAGGUUAGGUUUAGGUUAUGUUUUAGGGUUGAUUCAUGGUUAAGGUUAGGUUUAGGUUAUGUUUUAGGGUUGAUUCAUGGUUGAGGUUAGGUUUAUGAUUCAGAUAUUUUGAAAUGUAUGCCAUAUUAACAGUUUUAUAAGUAUUCAGAGAAGAGAAGAUUCUAAAUUGUCUUAAUAUAUUGUUUACUUAAUUACU